rnacentral:rRNA from 1 species
UACAGAGGGGGCAAGCGUUGUUCGGAAUUACUGGGCGUAAAGGGCGCGUAGGUGGCCUUCUAAGUUGAACGUGAAAUCCCUGGGCUCAACCCAGGAACUGCGUCCAAGACUGGGAGGCUUGAAUCCGGGAGAGGGAUGCGGAAUUCCAGGUGUAGCGGUGAAAUGCGUAGAGAUGUGGAGGAACACCAGUGGCGAAGGCGAACUCUUUGGCCUGUAACUGACGCUGAGGCGCGAAAGCGUGGGGAGCAACAGGG